rnacentral:rRNA from 1 species
CACGGAGGAUGCCUAGGCACUAGGAGCCGAAGAAGGACGUGGCGAACGACGAAAUGCCUCGGGGAGCCGUAAGCAGGCUUUGAUCCGGGGAUGUCCGAAUGGGGGAACCCAGCUGUGGUAAUGCGCAGUUACUCUAAAGUGAAUACAUAGCUUUAGUAGAGGCAUACCCAGGGAACUGAAACAUCUAAGUACCUGGAGGAAAAGAAAACAAAAGUGAUUCCGUCAGUAGCGGCGAGCGAAAGCGGAAUAGCCCAAACCAAGGAGCUUGCUCCUUGGGGUUGUAGGACCUCGAUAUGGGGUUAGUUCGGUAGGCGAAGUGAUCUGGAAAGGUCCGGCAUAGAAGGUAAAAGCCCUGUAGCCAAAAUCGAACGAAUCUCCUAGAGGUAUCCUGAGUACGGCGGGUCACGUGAAACCCCGUCGGAAUCCGGCAGGACCAUCUGCCAAGGCUAAAUACUCCCUAGUGACCGAUAGUGAAGCAGUACCGUGAGGGAAAGGUGAAAAGCACCGCGGAAGCGGAGUGAAAAAGAACCUGAAACCGUGUGCUUACAAAAAGUCAGAGCCCUCUAUAUGGGUGAUGGCGUGCCUUUUGUAGAAUGAACCGGCGAGUUACGUUCCCGUGCGAGGUUAAGUUGAAAAGACGGAGCCGCAGCGAAAGCGAGUCUGAAUAGGGCGCUUUAGUACGUGGACGUAGACCCGAAACCGUGUGAUCUACCCCUGUCCAGGGUGAAGGUGAGGUAACACUCACUGGAGGCCCGAACCCACGAAUGUUGAAAAAUUCGGGGAUGAGGUGGGGGUAGCGGAGAAAUUCCAAUCGAACUCGGAGAUAGCUGGUUCUCCCCGAAAUAGCUU